UCUGUCAGGUCCUUUUGUUUUCCCUUUUGUUAAAUUUCUGAAUUGUGUAAUCUCUGCAAUGGUCAUCGGUUGGUUAAGUAUUUUCCUUUGCUCUUUUGUGAAUAUCGGAAUAUCUUGAUUAUUCAAAUAUUCUUUUAAUUCUACCACAUGAUCUUUGUUCUUUUGUAUCUCUUUAAAUAGAUUUCAAAAAUAUUCUGAAAUGAUCUUCUUUGAUCUGUUUUGCUCUGUAUACAUUUUCUUUCCCUGAUUUACUGCUGUGAAUAAUAUUUUCUCUUUUUGAUUUUUCAGUUUCCAGGCUAACCAUUUUCCCAGUUUAUUUCCAUGUCCAACGUAUGUUCGAGGAUGACAAAAAUUUUUAAUGAGGAAUAACAAGACAAGCUUAGAGGGGCUGCAGCAGUUUGCUUUUCCUUAAGCCUUCUGGGAAGGGCAAGACUGAUCCUCCCCUUCUCCUAAGUUAGUAGGGUCCCAACUAUCUUUGUGCUUUCUUGUGCAGCAGUUGAAUGAAACCAAGGGCACCGGGGAAAAGUGGGACAGAAGGGAAGGAAAUGGGGACAUUUUAAAAGCCGCUGGAAAAAAUGGAAUGACAAGAUUAAUCAUGUGUGUCCCUGCCAAAUCCAGAUAGUUGGGAGGGUACAAUUACUUAGCCAUCAUUGUUCCACAUUACACUUUGCAAUAACAAAAUGGGAUGAGAGUGCUAGACAGUCCCCACCUUGCUAAAUCCAAUUAUGGAGAACAGGCAGAGAUCUCAUGAAGAAAGAAACUGAAUUUCAUCCGCUGCAAUGCCUCAACUCAUUUUCCUCCCACUCUUUCCUUCCACUUUGGAUAAUUAACUAGGCCAGUACUUCAGUCAUUUAUCUGAUGAUGAACUUUAGCACACAAGUCAGCUUGUCUUUUAAGGUGUCACAGUAUCCUUUGGGUUUUGUCUCAGAGACUAACAACCCAUCUGGAAGAGCCACACUAUUUUAGCUGAAACCUCAACAUCACAAAGAUCAAAGCGUGAUAAUACAACACUAAUGAAAGAACAUUGUCAUCUUGGCAUAACACCGGAGCAAGAUAUAUGUGCCCUUUAGCCACUGCCUGUCUGAUAUUCCCAUCCUUGGUGUCCUUCCAUUAACAGGUUUCCAGAUCUCAGUACUAAAUAUAAUGAUCGUCGUUUUUUGUGGGUUUUUUGGGCUAUGUGGCUGUGUUCUGGAAGGAUUUAUUCCCGACGUUUCGCCUGUAUCUGUGGCUGGCAUCUUCAGAGAAUUGUGGCAUGGAAGUGCCUGUUUCUACCAGCCUUUUCAGCACCAUGAUCUUACAGCCACUAACCAACAAAUGUGGCUAUCAACACCUCUGCUAACUUCCAGAUGCCAAUAUGAUUUAACUCUUUGGGAAACAUAAUAAAAGAAACA